GAGCGAGCGGGAAGAGCUCAAAUUUAUAAUCUGGCACCUUCGGUGUCCGAGUUGUAAUCUCUAGAAGUGUUUUCCGCGUUGGACCGCACACAAGUCUGUUGGAAUACAGCGGCAUAGUGGUGAGACCCCCGUAUAUGGUGCGGACGCCCAACGCUUUGUGAUACACUUUCGAAGAGUCGAGUUGUUUGGGAAUGCAGCUCAAAUUGGGUGGUAAAUUCCAUCUAAAGCUAAAUAUUGGCGAGAGACCGAUAGCGAACAAGUACCGUGAGGGAAAGAUGAAAAGCACUUUGGAAAGAGAGUUAACAGUACGUGAAAUUGUUGGAAGGGAAACGCUUGAAGUCAGACUUGCUUGCCGAGCAAUCGGUUUGCAGGCCAGCAUCAGUUUUCCGGGGUGGAUAAUGGUAGAGAGAAGGUAGCAGUUUCGGCUGUGUUAUAGCUCUUUGCUGGAUACACCUUGGGGGACUGAGGAACGCAGUGUGCCUUACGGCGGAUUUCUCGAGAUCUUCACACUUAGGAUGCUGGUGGAAUGGCUUUAAACGACCCGUCUUG
rnacentral:rRNA from 1 species